rnacentral:rRNA from 1 species
UACGUAGGGCGCGAGCGUUGUCCGGAAUUAUUGGGCGUAAAGAGCUCGUAGGCGGCCUGUCGCGUCCGCUGUGAAAUCCCGGGGCUCAACCCCGGGCGUGCAGUGGAUACGGGCUGGCUGGAGGCAGGCAGGGGAGAACGGAAUUCCUGGUGUAGCGGUGAAAUGCGCAGAUAUCAGGAGGAACACCGGUGGCGAAGGCGGUUCUCUGGGCUUGACCUGACGCUGAGGCACGAAAGCCAGGGGAGCGAACGGG